rnacentral:rRNA from 1 species
UGUGUAGGUGGAUGCCUAAGUACCUUGUGAAAUCCCACGGCUUAACCGUGGAAUGGCUGGGUAUACUGGGUGUCUUGAGCCACUCAGGGGCUACCGGAACAAGCGGUGGAGCGGUGAAAUGCGUAGAUAUCGCUUGGAACGCCAAUGGUGAAAACAGGUAGCUGGGGGUGUGCUGACACUGAGACACGAAAGCCGAGGGGAGACGAAACG